rnacentral:rRNA from 1 species
AUUGAACGCUGGCGGCAGGCCUAACACAUGCAAGUCGAACGGUAACAGGAAGAAGCUUGCUUCUUUGCUGACGAGUGGCGGACGGGUGAGUAAUGUCUGGGAAACUGCCUGAUGGAGGGGGAUAACUACUGGAAACGGUAGCUAAUACCGCAUAACGUCGCAAGACCAAAGAGGGGGACCUUCGGGCCUCUUGCCAUCGGAUGUGCCCAGAUGGGAUUAGCUAGUAGGUGGGGUAACGGCUCACCUAGGCGACGAUCCCUAGCUGGUCUGAGAGGAUGACCAGCCACACUGGAACUGAGACACGGUCCAGACUCCUACGGGAGGCAGCAGUGGGGAAUAUUGCACAAUGGGCGCAAGCCUGAUGCAGCCAUGCCGCGUGUAUGAAGAAGGCCUUCGGGUUAUAAAGUACUUUCAGCGGGGAGGAAGGUAGUAAAGUUAAUACCUUGGCUCAUUGACGUUACCCGCAGAAGAAGCACCGGCUAACUCCGUG